UUUUUGUUUCGCUCUUUUUAGGUGAAUGGAUGAACAAUUCUGCAGGAUAAUCAUUUUCACCUCAUGUUAUCACCAUAAGACUUGGGGAGGUAGUUACAUUCUUCCAUUUCAUAAGAAACAUGUUUUGAUGCUCUUAUUCGUUUAGUUUUCUUAUUCUUCAUUUCUAGGAUCCUGAUUAUAAAGAUGUUGAGGGUGUAGACAUAAUUACCAAACAGGUGUUAUACUAGUUCUAUCUUGUCAUUGAUUUGUGAUAAAUAUAGUAAAUUAAUUUUGAAAAAACAUGAUGAAUGAUAAAAAAAUUAGCUUUGUUGUCCAUGCUCUUUUCUGGUGCAUAUGAUAUGGUAAUUAAGGGUAGGAUAUCCAUUCAUGUAACGGAGUGGCAUCAUAUAUUUUGCCAACAGUUUAUACCGGAUACAACUUAAUUUUAUUUGACUCAUAUUUUAUAACUAAUAUACUUUAAUUUACCAAUAAUAUGGAUGUUGCACUAAAUUGUUUCAUCAUAAUCUUGUUGAGGUCAUUGGCAGGUAAUGCUUAAGAAAGCAGAUGAUUCUUAUGCUUGCAUAACAGAAAGUGCUAUGCGCUUUACCCUUGGCGAAGUUAGUUCAUGAACUAUAGCUAUUUAUUUGAUUACUGCAUGAAUGUGUAAUUUUUUUUUCAUAGGAGCUAUGUAGAAAAAAGCUGGUGAAUGUAUAGUUUAUUCGAAAGAAGCAAUUAAUUCUGUUUAAUGGUGAUUCUAAGUCUAAUUCAAGAAGAAUGCGUGAGAUGACAGUGACAUUAUCAUGUUACUUUUUAUUUAUUUAGACUUUGCACUUAUUACUUUUUAUUUAUUUAGAAAAGCUUAAUUUUGAAUUAAGUUUUCAAUCUUUUAGAUGGUGAAUGGAAAACCACCAGGUUGUGGAAACUUAUAUGUUGUUACUCAUAAAAGGCGUGAGAUGAGUGACAUUAUCAAUAUUGUUUUAUUGUUCCAACUAAUUGUUUUCAUUUUAUUAUUCCAGGCAAAUGAGGAUGCAAAAAUGUUUAAUACACCUUUGAGUGCAAGAUGAU
rnacentral:lncRNA from 1 species